rnacentral:rRNA from 1 species
UCGAUGAGUAGGGCGGGACACGUGGUAUCCUGUCUGAAUAUGGGGGGACCAUCCUCCAAGGCUAAAUACUCCUGACUGACCGAUAGUGAACCAGUACCGUGAGGGAAAGGCGAAAAGAACCCCGGCGAGGGGAGUGAAAAAGAACCUGAAACCGUGUACGUACAAGCAGUGGGAGCCCCACCACUAAGCCAGUGGUGAACUCCACAUCCGCAUCCUUUGCUGAGGAUACGGUUAACGGAGCGAAAGCGACGUUCAACCGCAAAACAAGCAGAGGGGGCUUAGUGGUGGGGUGACUGCGUACCUUUUGUAUAAUGGGUCAGCGACUUAUAUUCUGUAGCAAGGUUAACCGAAUAGGGGAGCCGGAGGGAAACCGAGUCUUAAUUGGGCGUUAAGUUGCAGGGUAUAGACCCGAAACCCGGUGAUCUAGCCAUGGGCAGGUUGAAGGUUGGGUAACACUAA